GGCUACACACGUGCUACAAUGGACAGAACAAAGGGCAGCGAAACCGCGAGGUUAAGCCAAUCCCACAAAUCUGUUCUCAGUUCGGAUCGCAGUCUGCAACUCGACUGCGUGAAGCUGGAAUCGCUAGUAAUCGCGGAUCAGCAUGCCGCGGUGAAUACGUUCCCGGGCCUUGUACACACCGCCCGUCACACCACGAGAGGUUGUAACACCCGAAGUCGGUGAGGUAACCUUUUAGGAGCCAGCCGCCGAAGGUGGGACAGAUGAUUGGGGUGAAGUCGUAACAAGGUAGCCGUAUCGGAAGGUGCGGCUGGAUCACCUCCUUUCUAAGGA
rnacentral:rRNA from 1 species